GGAGGGAUGGCUCAGUAGUUAAGAAUAUUGGUUUCUAUUCCAGAGGACCUGGGUUCAAUUCCCAGUACCUUCA
rnacentral:tRNA from 1 species